rnacentral:rRNA from 1 species
UACGAAGGGGGCGAGCGUUGUUCGGAUUUACUGGGUGUAAAGCGCGUGUAGGCGGCAGACCAAGUCGGCGGUGAAAGCGCCCGGCUCAACUGGGCGAGGUCCGUGGAAACUGGUCAGCUGGAGGACGGUAGAGGCGAGUGGAAUUCCCGGUGUAGUGGUGAAAUGCGUAGAGAUCGGGAGGAACACCUGUGGCGAAGGCGGCUCGCUGGGCCGGUCCUGACGCUGAGACGCGAAGGCGUGGGGAGCGAACGGG